rnacentral:lncRNA from 1 species
CCCUAAUAGGUUUCUUGGAGUGGUUAGCCUCCAAAUAGGGUUUGGGUCGUGUUGUUUUUUGUUUGAGGGGAUGGUAGUCUCGUAUACUUCCUGUAUGCCUUGAGGCUAUUUGCCUUUUUAUAUAUAUCAUUUGCUUAUAAAAAAAAGAAGCUAAAGAGCCCCUCCUGAAAGCUAAUCUAUUUCUCUCCUUCCAAACCGUCCAAAAAAUACACAACGGAAUGAAAGUCCAAAUCUUUUUCCUCUUUUCCCCCACAAAAGGGCCCCUCCAACUAAAUAACAUCUCUUUAACUGUCUUUGGGAACACCCAAUUAGCCCCAAACAAGGCCAGGACAAUCUCCCAAAGAACCCUUACAACUAUACAGUGUAAAAGAAUAUGAUUUACAUUUUCCUCUUCACAACCACACAAAAAACACUUGUUGAAGUUCCACAUCAUGUUUUGUUCAAAUUAUAUGAGUGAUUUCAGUAUAUUGUUUAGCAGAAUUCAGAUGCUGAUUACCUUUACUGUUGCAACAGCUUCUACAGCACCGGAAGCUCCUAGUAGGUGACCAAUCAUGGACUUAGUUGAGUUUACUCUUAGCUGAAAAAAGAGAAAUCAAAUAAAAAAUGAUAACAGAAUCAUAAUAAAAUCUUACGAGAUAUAUAAUGUAAUUUCAUAUAACCUUGGGAUUCUGGCCAAAACAACGAAUUAGAGCUUGGAACUCUUUUAGAUCACCAGAUGGGGUUGAUGUAGCAUGUGCAUUUAUGUAAUUGACAUCUUCUCUAGCUACCCCAGCUUGAGCUAAAGCCUUCUCUAUGCAAAGAACCACACCUGUCCCUGAUUUUGGGAACAAAAUCGCGAGUCAUUAAUUCAAAUCUCAACCAGCCUUACAAAGUUUUUCCAUGACUGUAGUAGCAUUCUUCAAGAUGAAACUUAUUAGCCUAAAAGCCAUGAUUGCUCACCUUCUGGAUGAGGUUCAGUCAUGUGAUAAGCAUCACAAGUGAAGCUUCCACCCAAAAACUCUGCAUAGAUAUUUGCACCUCUUCUCUGUCAAACAAGUAAGAAAAGGUAUUUAAGCUGAAAGUACUCAGCCAUAUGAAGCAGCUUUUGAAAGAGCCUCUAUGUUCAGUACAUGUAAACAAAACUGAGUUGCAGAAAGUAUACCUUUGCAUGUUCUAGCUCUUCCAGCAGCAGGACCCCAGCUCCCUCUCCCAUGACAAACCCAUCACGAUUCUGCUCAGUUAAAAUCAUACCUCAUAUCAAGAAUUGCAUCAAGAGGAAGAAUAUAGAAUCUUAGAUUUGGAUAACACGAGUAUCCACCAUCGUCACAAUCAUUCCAAUGGUAUCAUGCAAGAAUCUUAAUGGUAUCAGCUAAUCUAGAGAUUAUAUGCAAUAUUUUCUUGACCAAAUCUUUCACUCUUAAUCUUUCCUGAUUUUGAAAAGCAUAUGGUUAAAUUAAGCACAUAUCUUGACUCUCAUCAUGCUAAUAUAGCUUUGACUGGCAAACAUUAUUGCAUUUAGGUUUUGACUGAUAAACUUCUGCGUGUUUACCAUGCUUGUUUAUGGCCAGAUUAACAAAUUAUAUGUGGCAAAUAGGGCAGAAACAUAUCAAGAGUCAGCUUUCUAUUUCAUGUUGUGGACCCAAGGUUGGCACACUUCAUGACAUAAGAAAAAGGUUGACCAAGUAGAAGACUGAAAGUUUGAAAUAAUACAAUAUCCCAUGGGCGUGAAGCUUUUGCUGGAUCGCUAUUCCUCUGUGAAAGAGCUCUGCAUGCCACAAAACCUCCCAAACCUGCAAUCAAAUCAUCACAUAAAAAUGAUAAGUUUGUGAAGAUGAUUAACAUAGACACAUCCAGAAUGAGAAAGGCAUAAAUAAUACCUAUCGGUAUAAUUGCUGCAUCAGAACCACCACAAAGCAUCAUGUCCUGCAAGUUUCCACAUGUUAAAAAGCUCGUUUCUGAAAAAUGUGCACUCUUGUUUUUUCCACAUUUUAGUACUAGAUACUGAAUAAGCGGGAAUAAGCUCCUACAAGAAAUUCAGAAUUUACAUAAACUCGCAUCAAUGUGUUGGUGAGACUAAAUUGGGCCACCUACUGUUUCACCUCUGAUGAUAUGGUUUGCUGCAUUAAGUAUACAGAAAUUGCUUGUUGCACACGCUGUAGAUAUUGAGUAGUUUGGGCCCAUCCAUCCCUGCAGUUUAGCAUUUAAUAAAAACAAAAGAUCAUGUUUAACAAAUUUGGAAUACAUCAUAAAUCUAUCCUAAUUUUCCAGCAACAUUGACUGUGACUUACCAAAUCCAUUGCAAGCAUAGCAGAGCCCAUAUUAGUUGUAGCAAAAGGCACACAGAAAGGGUUCAUCUUCCUAUAUGAAAUCCUUAGGGCUUCAAUAGCAUCAUUAAAAACCUGUUUAAAAUAGACCAUUAUGCCAUAGGAAGUAAGCAGAAGAAUACUUGAGUAUGGAAAUUGAUGUUGAUUCAUGGAUAAAUCUGGAGUAUGAUGGUAUGGUGUAAAACCAGUUCUGUGAUGUCUCCCAUAUCUGUGGUUCACCUGGCACUCAUUAAGAGGCUCUGUACCAUCCUAUUUUGUGCCAGGAGAUCUUCAGAGCAGUGGCUAAUAGAAGAAAUUUGGUUUUCAAAGUGUCAAUUGUCAGUUCUUGGCAAACAAUCUUUGUUUGUUCCUUACGUGCAUGAAAGCUUAGACUUACCUUCAUUCCUCCCAUUGCAGAGCCUAUCAAAACCCCACAUCUAGCUUUGUCUAACUCGCUCAUGACAUCUUCAGUUACACCACCAUCAGCCAGUGCUUUCUUUCCUGCAGUGAGCAUAUAAAGCAUAAAUUUGUCUGCCCUCUUAGAAAGUUUUGGCGCAACCCAUCCAUCUGUUGAGAAAGACUUGAUUUCUCCAGCAAUUCUCUGUUUAAAAAAAAAUACAUAAAUAAAAAGUAGAAUCAACAUCUGGGACUGAACCAUCACUGCAAGGGUCAGAGAAUUGGUAAGGACCUACCGUGGGAAACUGAGCACAGUCAAACGCCUCUAUCUCACUUAUGCCACUAACACCUUCAAGAAGAUUAUUGUAGAAAACAUCCAGAUCAUGACCAACUGGAGUUACAACUCCCAUGCCUGUCACAACAACCCGCCUUUGCUUCGUAAGAGGUUUCUUCUUUGCUGUGACUUCUGCUGCAGGCUUCACAGCCACUGCCAUAUUUUUGUCUAAAACCAUAAAAAAAAUGCACAGAUCACAAUUCGGCAUGCAUGAUGAACAUUACCAUCACUAACUACCACUAGCAACAUGCAGCAGCUCACUAAUUACUGAGCUUGUGUACCUGGUGGGGGGCAGGAUGUGGGGUAUUUGUACAUCAUUGUUAGAAAAUAGGCGUUAUUAUGGUGCAUUACACCACCUACAUCACCAUUAAUUGGUUUAAGAUAUAGAAGUAUGACUAUAAUAACUUAUCUUCUUUCUCCACCAACUUCCAUUGCUUGAAAUUCUGCACAAUAAUUAGAUUCAUGGUACCUGCUACUUUCUCUCCAUAAAUUCACAACAACAGAAUUUAAAUUCACAAGUCCUUAUUCCCAUCAAUUAAUGAGUGGGGAAAUUUCAAGCAUUAGAUUGAACAAGAUAACCACCUUGCUUGUACAUUAGAUCUCAAACCUCAAAAUCAUGUACUAAGAUAAACAAGGAAAAAUUGUACAAACUGCAUAGAUAUUAGGCCCCCUUCAAGAGCCCACAUCCUUAAGCUAAACAAAAACAAUUGAAAUAGGCAUCAAACAAAAUGAACUCAGUACCCUAUCUAAAUAUACCCUGCAGAAGAUCUAAGAGGAUGGAUCAGGUAAAGUACUAACAAGUCCAAAGUUCUUUGUAAACUAUAGCAGAACCUGAUAAUUUCAAUUAUAAAAGAAAAUGCAUAAAAGGAAUCAGCAAUGAUUGAAACAAUAUAACAAAAUCCUGGCAAAAAAUUCAGAGUCAUUACCAGAAUGGGCAGCUCGAUUCAUGCGCCUUUGCCUGUGAUUCAUUGGGGAGGGCUUGGAUCCGAAGAGUGAGAACCCAUUGUCGCCAAAGAAGGCCAGAGAUGAGGAGAGCCCUUUGGAGCUGGAAUAGGCCUCGCAGGGCUCGAAAGCGAGACAAGAGCUCAUCAGAUUGUGGAUACUGGACCCAUAGAAAGAUGAAAUCCAGCCACUUGAGAAAUAAUCAACACCACCAUUGCUGCAUUGUAGCCUUCGUUUGGCCCACCGACUCAGUCUCUUUGGUGUCUGAAACAUUGACGAUUUCAGAGGGUGGUCUUUCUCGCAUGCCACUGACAUGCAAGCUGCGACAAGCCACGUACAGAGAGGAGACGCAACAGAGGAAGCCGCCAUUGAAAAACCCAAGCCAAACCAAACAGACCCAGAUAAAUAAUUCGACAACCCAGCAAGAAUUACCAAGAAAUACAAUCAAAGCAGAGAAGAACCAAUACAGCAAGCCUUGAAAGCCCAAACCAAGCAAACCCAGAUAGAAAAUUCACAGAGAAACGCAAUCAAAGCAGAGGAGAGUCGCCAUUAAACAGCCCAAGCCAAACUAAACAGACCCAGACGGAGAAUCAAGAACCCAGGAAGAACUAAGAGGAAAUGCAAUCAAAACCAACCAAACCAAACAGACCCAGACGGAAAAUUUACAGAGAAAUACAAUUGAAGUAGAGGAGACUCGCUAUUGAAAAGACCACGAAUUCAGCCAGAAUCUAAAAAAACAAACAAAAACCACGAAGACCCAGAUGGGAAAUUUAAGAAGGAAGGGAGUGAGAAGUGAGGAAAUGGGUGGAUUUCAUAUAAAGAAGAAGUGGGGUGAUACGGGAGUUGGGAUCAGAGGGAAAGAGCAGAAGGGAAUCGAAGCGCUCAUGGAUGUGAAGCAGUUUGAAACACCUGGGAUUUUCACCAAAUCUGAGUGGUGUGAGAUGGAGGAUGGAGAGUGAGUAUACAAAAUAUGCAAGAAUACAAAUGGAUGGAUCUCUGAUCACAAAUAUGUGUAACAAAUAGGACUCCUGUACGUCCUUGUAAAAAGAGUCAAAAGACCCUUUACCAGUUUACCCUAUAAUAUCAGGUUUUCACACAAACAUUUUCUAGGGAAAAUAAGAGAAAAUUUACUAUAUUCUUUUAUAUAAGUAAGUCAUAAAUAUUAACCCUUACAUAUGAAUAAAGUAAAGUAUGGCAGCAAAAAUUAGAAUGCUAAUUUGUUUUUGGAAAACCAAAAAUUUAAUUAUUAUUCAAAAAAUUUCCUUUUUGUUAAAAAAAAAAAAUUUGUCAAAAUUUUUUUACUCUCAUUUAUCAAAAUUUUACAUUAAGAAACAAUGUCCAAAAUAUUAAUCUUGUCGGAAAAUAUUUUGGGACCCAUUAAAAAUUAAAUUUAUAUAUAUAUAUAUAUAUAUAUAAAUGAAUGAAUAAGAGCUUGAUAUUUUAAGUAUCAGGACUCAAGAACUAUGAAGCAAUGAAGAUGUGGGUAGAAUUGAACUACUUUUUGAGGUGCAAUAUGAUGAUCAUAUUUAUUAUCCAACAACUAUGCAGGAGAAUUAUGAAUGGAAGAAAGAUUACAAAUUCUAGCAAAAUGACAGUGAGGGAGUGAUUUGAGGUAAGGAUUUAAGUGGGUUUAGUGAUACCUUUGGCUUCAUUUUACUUCUCACAAGUCACAACUUCCAUUAAAGUGAGUCGGAGUUUUUGAAAAUGAACUUUAUUUGCUUUACCAAACAAAUUAAUUCCAAAAAACAAAAAACCCAAAUCAAUUUGUUUAAAGUGGUUUUUUUUUUCAUCUGUUCUUCCUUCUUUUCCCUUUACAAUUCAUUUUUUUUUCCUCAGAUGUAAAAGUCCAUGAAUUUAUUCAUAUGCCCAUGUUUUCUUCCAUACCUAAAUCUAGGAAAGCCCUAAUUCUAAUCCCUGAAUCCAUUCCUUUCAUCCUUUUUAGGUGCCUGCUGCUUUUUUAAAAAAUGGAAGGGGAUAAAUAUUAGGGUUAGUUUUUUUUUUUUUAUUGAUUUAAAUAUUUUUUAAAAAAAAUAUUAAUUGAUUAAAAGGGAAGAAAAUAUCCCAAAUUUGUAAAACCAACAUCUCUCAUUUUUUAACUUGAAAAAUGACCAAUUUUUGACAUAAAUACCCUUUAAUAUAUUCACUAAUUUAUAUAUAUGCUUUAAAAGAAAAUGUUAUUUUUAUAAGAAAAAAGUGAAAGUAUUCUUGUCCAAAAUUAGUAAUUUUUUGAGUAAAAAAAGUGAGGUUAGAUUCGUAAUUUCAUUUUUUUUUUCUCUUUUAAUUGAUUAUUCCUAAAAAAAAAAAAGGAAAUCAGGAUAUAUGAGUAAAUUUAUAUAUUCUUUUAUAUUUAUGGUAAAUAUAUAAAAGGGAGAUCAUUGAAAUGGGAGGUGUAUAUAAAAUUCAUAGCUUUAAAAUUCGUGCGCAUAUCAAUCCAAAGUCACCGGUCCUUGAAAAUGCUUUCAUCUAUUAAACAUGGAGCAUCGUGACAGCAAUCCAGACCAUUGGAAGUAUAUUAUAAAUCUAAGCCGUUGGACGAGGGUAUAAGCAAAUAAAGCCAAAGUGACCAAUUAUGGAAAAUGCUUAAUACAUUCCUUAAAUAUCCAUUGAAUGUGAGGACAUUGAUUAAAAAAGGAUACCCAUUUACUGUUGAUCUAAAGCCUUAAUAGGGUGAGAAUGAGAGAGGACUUGUUCUUGAAUUCCAAGGCCUAAGAUCAAAUGAAGCACUGCAACUUAAGAGAAAAGAUGAAAUUUUCAUGGGUUUUGUUUGACAAUUAAGCAAUGGUUUUUAUAUGUUAUCAUUGAAUUCUAAAUGCCUUUUCUAUGUCAUUAAUUAGGUUGAGGGAUUUGUUUGUGGUUUCUCUAUGAUAUUAGUUCGAUACAUACAAAAAACGAGAUCAAUCAAGUCAUGUCAUAUAUACAUUUUAAAUGUUAUUUUUUUGUAUCUAAAUCUAAUCUUAGUCUUGCAUUUGAUAUCAUUUAUAUGUAUCUUGAUCUCAUAAAUUUAUAUGUUCAUUCAAUGAUCUAGAUUUUAUAACUGUUGGAGUUGGGUUUAGGUGUUCAAAGGGUUAACCCAACCCGACCCAAUAAAUGGGAGAAAUAAGAGGAGUGAGAGUUUAAAAUUAUUAAAAAACUGUCUUUAUUAAAUAAUAAAAAAAGUUUAAAGGGAUUGUAAAGAAUUCACCGAAAUGAUUUAAUGAUUUAAAUAAAUGGAGUUCCCCAAAUAUUGAACUUUGAGAAAGGUAGAUUAUAAAUUAGUAUGAUAAAAUUGUUAAAAUGAAUUAAGAUGUUCAAUGAAAAAAAGAUUUCUUCUUCUUCAUCUAUUAUUUUUGUUCUUACAACAUAACAAUCAAAUCUCGAUUCUUAGAUUUUUCGAAUAAAACAUCAAUUUUUUUUUCUCUCAUAGAGUUGUCUCCCCUUGAAAGACACUAUAGAGAGAGGUCUUUUUUUUUUUUUUUUUUUUCUCCUUGAAUACAAAAUAAACAUGCAUUCUACUUUCCAAGAAAAAAAAAAUUAUUUCUUGAAGUUUUUUUUGUUCUUCUCCAUGAAAAUGAAAGUCAAGGCUCUUAUACUAUGAAAAAAUAAUUGUUCUCGUAUUCGUAAUUUCAUUCGUGACUUAGACGAAAAAAUUAAUCAAUGAAACAACUAAUUGAGAUUCUUGGAUAUUUCAAAAAAUAACCCGAAAAUCUUAUUUUUUAUUAAUAAUAUAUUUUUAAAGACAUAAGUUGCAUUUUUGAGAGGUACUACUCCCAUGCUUUAGUAUUUUCCUUUAUUUAUUUUGGCUUGGAUAAGAUAUUUAAGAAAUAUUGUUUUCAUUGAUGGCCUUUGAUUCCUUUUGGGAAACAACUUUCCCUUCUCAUAAGUUAUACAAGAAUCUUUGAAUUGGUCAGUCAUAUGAUCAUCAUAUGACAUUAAUUUAGGGUUGGUAUUGAACUAUAUUAACUAAGGCUGAGACAAACUUGUUGGUACACAGUAAAAAAGAAGGUGUCUCUAUAGAUUCCAAGAUAUAGAUAAAAUCAUUGCAAUGUGUUUUCAUAUAGAUCACUCGAGACGUGUAAAUAUGUGUUUGGUGCGCAAUUAACGAUUGAAGGCGAUUUAAUACUUGAGGCCGGUUAGGUUCCACUCUCAUUGUGCUUGUUUAGGAUAGUCUGUCUGCUACUUUGGAUCCAGACAAAUUAUUCACUAAACCUUAGGCCCUCCUUUCAGAUGACGAUGAAUAUGAAUGACUAUAGGGAACAAAAUAACAAUGAGGGCUCAUGAGACAUAAGACAUUAAUUUUGAAUUUCAUUUUUUUUUUUUUUAAAAAAAAAAGAUUAGGCAUGAGCUAGACAUUAAGGAUUAAUUAACUCUAUUUUUAUUGAUUGAUUUAAUUAUUUUAAUCUUUUUGAACUUAUUUUUCAUAUUAAAUACAACAAGUAAUUGAUUAAGAUGGAAUUGUUACAAAAUUAGUUUUUUUUUUUUUAAUUUUAAUGUAUUUUUAAAUAUUUUUUAGAAUAUCAUGAGAGAGAAUUUAAAAUAUGAAAAAUAUUUUGAUAUUUUAAAAAAAGAAUGAUAUUUUUGUUAAUCUUUCUUUGUAUUCAAAAUAUUUUACCCGUUUUUCCUCUCAUUUGCAACGGUCGCAUUUUUCAUCAGACAAACCCAUCCAAAAUCUUUGACAGAACCUCUCUUGAAAAGAGGGAUCUCAGAAGAUCAAAGACCGAAAGAACUCAUCAAUGGCGCCUUCUGAGCAACUCCCUAAUGUAGUUAUGGAAGAGGAUGAUUACAGUGAAACCGAAGGAUCCGACUCUGAAGAUUCGAACGAUUCCCAAGAUGACCCAACAUAUGACAUUUUUGAGGAAACUCAAUCUGGGUUUUCAAAUCUCUCAAUGGAGAAGAAGUCAAAAUCUCGGUUAGUGUGUGUUUAUGCUGUUAAUCAGAUUUUUUAUGUUGAUUUAUUGUCAAAACCUUUGUCUUUGUGUUGAAAUUUAUUUGGGUUUUUUCGCAUUUGCAGUAUUCAGAAAGAAAUGGAUAUGGGUUUUGUGGAAGACCUGGAUGACGUGGAAAUAGUUGCGCCAGUGCUUGAUGAGAAAGAUGAGAAAAGCUUUGAGAUGGUUCAAAAAAUGAUAGAAGGUCAGCGAGAGUUCCUUUCUAGGUGUUACCCUCUGUUUGGUUGCUGAGAAAUCAAGGACAAGAAAGUAAAAGGAAGAAAUGUCGAUCUUUUGCUUAUGUUGUUUCGGCUUCCAAAGAGAAUUAAAACUCGAUCAAGUACUUGUAUUACUAGGAAAAAAAGCGUUUUCGUUUUCGUUUUUUCCCCUCCCAUCAAAUCCCAGAUGAUUAAAAUCUCGCAUUCAAAAUUAAUUUUCUCUUCUUUGCCUGCAUUCUCAAAAUCCCAACAGAGCAAAAUUCCAUUUGCAGAAGAAAUCUCAAGUGAAGUAGUUGUACGUAAGGUUCAAUUGGGUGGGGUAUUUUGCUUUCUCAAAUCCAAAAUAAUUAAUAAUCUAAGCUUCAUUUUUAUUUUUUUUUCAUUUUCAUUUUCCUACCAUUUCUCAUCAACCAAAAAAGCUCUAUUACAUAUCUCUAUAUGUAAAUAUGACUUUUAUGUUAUUCCUUUGUGGUAGCUGGUCAGUUAGAGAAACUGAAAGUGGAUCAAUGCAAGGUUUAUUUGAGGAAGAAUGGAUUGAGACUCACAGGCAAUAAAGAGACACUGAUUCAACGCAUUAAGGAGCAUCUAGGGUAAUUUCAUUUUCUUGUAUUGUGAUUAUUCACUUCUCACAAUUUUUUUCCCUUUCCUUUUUUAAUUUUCCUGACCUCCUAUACCUUUCCUUAAUUUUGAUUCUGCUUCUCAGUAUCAUAAAUGGUGGUGGUGAGAAGAAAUACCCAGUCUCUAGCUUUGUCCUGAACUGUAAAGGUACACAUUUAACUUGUAUUUUUUUCUCAUCAAUUUGAAGGAUUUAGUGAUUUUGAUAUGACUUAUGGGUGGUGUUUGGUGUUCGAGUAGAACUAUCUUCGGAUGUUUCAUGUCAUUUUAGUACAACUUCUGGGUUGUGUCCCAUUCAAGAUUUGGCAUACUGGGUUCUGGUGAUUCAGUAAAACAUCUUAGGAUCCUGCAUACUACCGGGUUUUUUGGGCUUUGUCUCUAUUGGGUUCUGUAAUUGAUUUCUUAGUAGCUGGUUUGUUGUGGGAGCAUCAUAAACUAGUUCACACAAUUACACAAAAAAUAUGCUUCAGUUCUAGGUUGCUCCUGGAUCAAGUCUUGACCAUCUCAUCUGAAAACCAAUUGGUAUCCAAUAAGGAUAGGCUAAGCCUUUUAUAGCAUUUGACCACCAUCAUUUGGGUGACCACCAUCAUUUUGGUGAUCCAUACUCGGGUUUAAGAGCAGCAUUGUUUCACCCCCAAUAGUUGUGAAUAAGGUUUUAUAGAUAUACAUUUUCUUUCAUGUCCAAAAAUAUUUUGGUUCAAUUCUAGUUUGUGGUUGCUUUGAAGACUUCAAAUAUAUGCCUUUUCUUUCAUGUCUAAAAUGGGGUGUGUUUGCAGGGGAUGCUUGCACAGGAGAUGUGGUUAUGUUUGAACAAAAUGUUUAUGAAAUGUAGGUGUUUUAUCCAUUUUGCAGUUGAUCUAUAACAAUCUUGGGUUUUGCUUUUAACCGUAUCCCCUUGAUAUAAGCUUUUUCUAACUUAGAAUUUCCUUCACCCACUUGUUCUUCUCAGGUUCAAUAUAGCUUCUAGGAGUGCCAGUGGCCCUCCAUGUGGUUCCAGGAUUAUUGCAGGCCACAUUGUGAAAGACAGCUAUGGUGCUGCCAAACAACAGCAUACAUUCACGGUGAGCUUAAAAGACGAAUUGUAUAAGCAUGGCAGACUUGCUAAGAGAUUAUCAUUGAGGUGUUAAGAUUAUUUACCUUUUUGAGGCCUAUUGACCAGAUUGAAGUCCUAUGGAGCAAAGGCGAGAAACCGCUCCCCCCACUUCAUCCCCUACUAAUUAAGGGCCGAAACCUCUAUCGUUUGAAGACUCUGAGACAGGUUUUGUACCAUAUAAAACCGCUCCAUUGUUAUUCUUCUUUAUCAACUAUUGAUAUUAAGUGAAUAACUGAUCUUCAAUCUCAACUUUAGAGAUGGGAAGAUGAAGGGGAGAGGCAGAAAGUUUUAAUGGAAAAGCAUUCCAGGGGUUCUCUUGCCAGGUCUGACAGAGAAGCAAGGAUCCAAGAGAAGGAAAUGCGCAAGAACAAUAGGUAUUUUGAUGCAUUUAUCACAUAACAUGAACUGCAGCCAAUUUAUCUUUACAUUCUGAGGCUGUGUAUGUGUAGGCAUUUGAAGGUUACCAGAAAAGCUGAGCUGAAGAAAAAUGAAUCUCAGUCGAAUCCAACAAAGCCAGGUUUAUCAGUUGAUUCAGGAAAAUUGGUCCAACCUCCAACACAACAAAAGCAAAGCAGCAAUCAGGAUCAACAAUAUCCUCCACUUCAAAGGGAAAAUUUAUGUCCCAAUACUUGCAAAGAAAACAUUGGGGUUCCACAAAAUAUGCUCAAGUUUCCUCAGGAAAUUCAGCACAGUAAGCAUGAUGGGUGUUUUGCUAAUAAUCAUAGCCAUAGGGAACCAUUGAGAAGCAUGAACCAUUUUCCUCCAGUCAUUCCAUUACAGAGGGGCUAUCCUCCAAUGCCCCCUUCAUGGGGCCACAACGACAAACAAGUAUGCAGACAUUAUGCUAAAGGAAGAUGCUACUUUGGAGAUAACUGUAAAUUUUUGCAUGAUUUGAGAAAAGAGAAUAUGUGAUCCAAGGAGUGAAAUAGAGCUGAUUGUACUACUGCUGGCAUCCUGAAAUAUCUGUUGCUAAUCCUCCAAAAUGUCUAUCUCAGAGAUGGGGGUGGACAUACUAUUUACAGAAGGAAGGAAGCUGUUUUUGGAGACAACCACAAACUUUUACUUGUUUGAGAGAUUGUUAUCAAAGGAGAGAAUUCAAGUGGUUGUGCUGGUCUUCUGAAAUUUCCAUUGCUCAUGGCAUUUUGUGUAAAUUGGGGGUUCCCUUUGGGACAGCCCUCUCUUAUUCUCAGGUUUUUUUCUCUCGGAAGGCAAUCUUCAUUCCUUUGCAAUCAACUUUAGCAACCAGAAUUCUAUUCUCAUUUCAUCCCAUGUUUGAUUGGUAAUUGAAUAUGAUUAAAUCAAACAUGAGAAUAGAAUAAAUAUUUAUAUACGAGAUAUAUUAAUUUUAAUUUUAAAGUUAAGAAAUAUAUAUUUUAUUUAACAUAAAUUUAAAUAAAUAUUAUUAUAAAAUAUUUAUUAAUAUUGAAAUAUAAUAUAAUUUUUAUUUAAAAUAAAUAUUUAUUUUAUUUAAAAUAAAUUAUAUUUUAAAUAUUCUUAAUAGAUAUGAUAUUGGAUAUCAUGUUAAUCGGAUCAUAUCGAGAACAUAUCUUGAUGAUAUUUUCUACAAUCCUUCCUACUACUUCGCUAGAUUCGUUUUAUGGGCUUCUCCGUCUUUUGACUCCGACUCAUUCGCCGAGGAAUCAAUGGCGUGUAAAGUUUUAAAUUCCGAAACGACGCCGUUUUAACGUCUCUGGCCAUGUCAUAAGACUCUCAUAACCAUAAUUGUCCACCCAAAUGACGAUCAUACCCUUGUAAUGCUGACAAACAAGUCCACCAUGUAAAGCACACUCCAAUGAUCAAGAUAAGCCAAUGACAUUCAAAACAUCUUUCAGUAGCGGCUCAUCUUUUCAAUCACUACUUCAGAAGCUCUCCUUCUCAGAAUCAAAGGUAUAUAUUCCUUUUUUCCUUUUAUUUUUACUGAUGAUCAACAUUAUUUGAUUCUCUUGUGAAUUUGAAUAUGUACGUAUAUAGUGGUGUUUUUUGCUGGUUCUAAUGAACCCAGAUAAUUUAUCAGCUGUUUUCAUGUUUUUCGUUUGAAAGUUUUUAACCCUUAAGAAGAUUUGAUUUUUCCCCUUAGUAGAAGAGCUGAAAGGUGUGUUUUUGUCUUCUGAUGGCUAGGCUAUUUGGGUACCAAUUGGAAGCAAGAGAAUGGAGAUUUUUUAUUUUUGAUUUCUUCAACCUUCAAAAUGAUACAGCUGAACUUCUCACAUGCUUAUUUAUAGAAUCACUUGUGCAGAAAAUGAGUGAUAAGACCUUUUGUGGAGUAUGUAUUUCCUCCACAUAUCCAACGAUAAGAGACCAAUGUGAUUGAACAUCGAGUAAGGCUACAUUAUGGAUUGGUUUCUUGUUGUUUUGAUACGUGGGGAUAAUAUGCAGUUCACUUGCUGUGUCCUCUUACACCUUUUAGCUCUAUCUUUGUGUCAUAUCCCACAUAGAGGAAAAAGUAGACACAUUUUAAAGCCGUGGCCCGGGCUAAAGCGGACAAUAUCUACAUGGUUGAGAGUGGGUUGCUCAACCUUAUCUAUCGCCUCUUUACUCUUACUUUGGUAACUCGGCUCUUACCUCUCAAGUUUAGCUCGUUACAUUGACAUCCUGGCUUUUACCUUUUUGCUGAUACCUUUCACUUUUGAGGUUUAGCAACCUACAUUGUGGCUUUGCCUGUAUCAAUGAUAAGUGGCAACCCUAUAAGAAAACGAACCGAAUGGGUUAUGUGGCAUAACCGUAUAUCACUAAAGCACUAAAAGCAUGCAACUUCAUGUAAUGUGGAGUUUUCUAAGUUCAUAAUCUCUUCAAAUGGCAUAUGGCAAGACUAGUGAUGUUUAAAAAUAAAAGAGGCCAACGCAUGGUCUUCAUAUAAACAUUGAAAUUUUGUUCAACUUUUCAUUUAAAGAAAUACAGCUCAGGGAUGUUUGGAAAUCUAAUGGAGUGAUUGUUAUGUUCAACUUUAGCUAUGAUUCAUCAAGUUAUGAAUUAGAAGUACACAUGUUUGGGUCCCUUGCUAUUCAUGGUUCCAUUUUCAGGAUUGGAGCAAUAGUUCUAUUUUAUUUUACCUAGACCUUCUUAUGUUAAGUUUUCUAUGCUAUAUUAUGCCUUUUCUAUAGUCUCAAUAUAAAAAGAAGUUUGAGUUACUUUGGAAACUUGAAUUUAUCUCAUUCUAAUUUGAUUCUAUUGUAUAGAGAAGUGAGUUUUUAUCACAAAAGAACUAUGAAUUUUAAAAGGUUUUGAGUAGGAAAUGUUGAAUCAUGGUUGCCAAGCAUCUUCUUAGUCUUUUCAAAUUUAUGCAUGUGAUGGCUACUUGAGAUUUAUGCAGUUGCAUCUAGCAGAAGCUAUUGAAAAGCUAAACAUUGUUUACUGUCUGUGUUUCCAGUACUAAUGGCAGCUGAACCGGUCAAUGUGAAUGAGUUCCAAGAACUGGCUAGACAAGCACUUCCAAAAAUGUACUAUGAUUUCUUCGCAGGGGGUGCUGAGGACCAGCACACGCUAAGGGAGAACGUAGAAGCAUUUAGUAGAAUCACGUAAUGUUCUUGACCUGUUAUUCUUAAAGUGGCAAACAAAGCAAACAAAAUAAAACAUUUUACUAUCUUUUAUUCAUGGCUUCAGGUUUCAGCCAAGAAUUCUUGUGGAUGUGAGCAAAAUAGAUAUGUCAACUACUAUAUUGGGUUAUAAAAUCUCAUCACCCAUUAUGAUUGCUCCAACCUCUUUGCAAAAGCUGGCACACCCUGAAGGUCUAGAUACUCUUGCUAGAGAACGGACUUGAAAUAUAUUAUGCAAUAUUUAGUACACUUAUAUUUUGUGUUGAUUUCAGGAGAGAUUGCAACAGCCAGAGCAGCAGCUGCAUGUAACACCAUAAUGGUACUAGUGUAUCUUGGUUUUAUCGUAUCAGCUUAGUCAAGAUAUUUGACUACUGAGUUAUUUUUCUCUACAGGUGUUAUCCUUUAUGGCUACCUGCACUGUGGAAGAGGUUGCUUCCAGCUGCAACGCUGUCCGAUUCUUGCAAUUAUAUGUAUUCCACUCUUCUUAAGCUCUUCUGAAUUCAAAUUUCUUUUGCAAACUUCCAUUUUUCUUUAGCAACAUCAAUUUUCGCCUUUCUUUCUUGGUAUUUUGUGAUCCCAAUUUUAGAAUCUCAAGUUGGAUUUGUUAUCCAUCUGCAAAUAGGUAUUUAAGAGAAGGGAUAUAUCAGCUCAAGUAGUGCAAAAAGCUGAAAGAUAUGGAUUUAAGGCUAUUGUUCUGACUGUCGACACUCCAAGGCUUGGUCGACGGGAGGCAGACAUAAAGAACAGGUGAAAUAUCAUCUCCUUCUUUGACACUGUUUUUCUGUUAAAUAUGUGUUUGUUCCCUUGAUAGUGCUAUGAUAUGCCUAAUCUGAUGGGAUAAGACAUUGGUUUAGUUUAUAAGAAACUUUGUUUUCUAUCAUAUUGACAUAGUAGCAAUAUUCAAUGCAUAACAUGGAAAAGAAUCUGCUCCAAAACUUUUGCAGAAUGGUUUCACCUCAGCUGAAGAAUUUCGAAGGUCUCCUAACAACUGACGUUUCCAAUGUAAGUGGAACAACAAAAAAAAAGGAAACCAGUUCUGUGCAUUUAAAAUUUUCCUAGAAGUAAUGUAUGAACUUCUUUUUCUUCCACACCCCCCCACCCCCCCACCCCCCACGACCAUUUUUUUUUUUUUUUUUUUCUGGGUAUAUGAAUCUAACAAACAAGAGGCUUUUAUACAACAUUCUUAGCCCUUGAGUGAGGUAUUUUUUAUUUUUGGCUUUAGCUAGAAGCUGAAGUUGUAGCCAUGAUUUCAAAGAGCAAUAAUUGGAACAAUGAAACGAUCUAUUUGCUGAAACCAAUACUGAUGCACAGGGUGUCCCACUCUCUGUUUCUCUCCUUCUGGUUGCCAUUUUGUCAAAUUAAAAAUAGGAAUACUCUUUUUAUUUAUGAAAUGCAUAAAGAAAUAUGUGAACACUGCAUAUUGCAUCCAACUAAAGAGACCAUAUUUUAUCUCAAACCAUAGUUUACAAUAUAUUUGAUGGGCAGAGACCCAUGUUAAUGGUUUACCUGAUUACUGAAAUCAUGUUGUAAUGCGUCUUAGCAAAAAAUUAUAAUAAUGAUUUUGUCAAAUUUAUUUGGUUUUUAAAACUUUUGCAGGACAAGGGUUCUAGUCUUGAAGCUUUAGCAUCGGAGAUAUAUGAUGCUUCUUUGUCUUGGAAGGUAUAUGCUGAUAAACUAAUUUGGUUACUGUAUAGUAUGUUUCCUGAAAAGCUCAGUGAGGCGUUACUCUGACCUUUUAUUUCUAGCAUGAACAUAUCACUUUAGGAAGUUGUGUGAAUUCCCAUAAUAGAACAAUUCUGUGGGUUAAUUUAUCUCGCCAGUUUACACAAAAGGUUGAGGCAGGAGCAUAAGGCCAUGAAGCUAUUAGCUGCUCUUAAUUUUAAUUCUGGCUGGGUGGACACUUGAACCAUGAUUUUGAACUUAAAAUGUACAUACUGCAAUACACCAAAUAUUGAGGUAAUGUGCUUGAGUUUCUAUUGAUUUUAAGGAGUACAUCAUGAACUUUGCAGGAUAUAGAAUGGUUAAGAUCUAUCACAAACUUGCCGAUUCUGAUCAAGGGGGUACUCACUUGUGAAGAUGGUAAGCUCAAGGCUCUAUUUUAUGAUGUUUGCACCAUUUCAUUUUAAUUGUAUUCCUCCAAAAUACAAGCAUUGAUGCUUUUGUUUAGUGAAGCAUUCUUCCAUUGUCUUUUUGGUCUAACUCUUACCUCCCCCUGCCCAAGGAAAAACAAUAAUUCCCCUUUGGUACUACACUUGUCUUCUAAUGUUUGAUUGUUUCUGUAGGCCAUCAGAAAAUCCAUUUAAAUGCUGCCUUUGUGUUUUUUUUUUUCUUUAAUAGUUGAGAGAGUUUAAUCUUUGUUUAUUUAUUGUGCAAUUUCCCCAUGGUUGAACAAGAUUAUUGAUUCUGUAUAAUGCCACUGGCAGCAAUUAAGGCUGUGGAAGUAGGAGUUUCUGGGAUUAUCGUCUCCAAUCAUGGAGCUCGCCAGCUAGAUUACGUUCCGGCCACUAUUUCGGCCCUGGAAGAGGUGAUUCUCUUUUUCUGCCUUUAUGGAGUUGCUCUAUUUUGCAGAUACAGUGCUUAGAUUUACAGGCUUAUCAAGACCUUAAUCACAUGCAUGUUUUUAACUAUCCAUAACCUUUUCAAUAUUUCGAUAUCCCUACUCUACAAGUGGCUGGUAUAAAUUUCUCAAAAUUUUUAUCCGUGAGCUCCAGGACUUGCUUCUAAUUUCCACCAUUUUCCUGAAUCAAUAUUGAUAUAAUGAGUUCCUCUGUAUUUUCAGAACCUUAAUGUGGUGUGUGGAUAUUAAUAUUUUAUUCCUUGAUUGCAGGUAAUAAAAGCCAAUAGUAAUAAUAGGUGUGUAAAAAUCCACACUUCUCUGUCUGGAAACUGAAAUAAUUAACAAGGAUAUAUAUUUAACGGUUUAGUUUGAAUGAAACAAUCUAUUUUCCAUUUUGUUUCUUCUAAUCUGACCACGUCUUUACUUCCCAUCUUAUUCUGCUAAUCCUCUGCCAAGACCAAAAACAAAAAUGGUAGCUUAAUGUCACAAGAUGCUUCAAAUGACCCUCCCCAUGGGCUUAUAUAGGAGGAGAGAAGCUUCUAGAGACCCUUGGAGACAUCCACACUUAGCCACUAGUGGGAAGAGUGUGGAAGGUUCUAGAAAUGCCUAGAGAAGUCCACACAACUCUACACUAUGGAAGAAGGCAUGAGAAGGGUCCAAAGCUUUCUAGAGAAAUCUAGAAGUCUCUUGUAUAUAAGCUUGUACAUAGAAUAGUGUAGGACAUUCUAGAAUAUUCAUGAAUUGUAAGGAACCCUCCAAGGUUCUAGAGAGUUCCAUUGGUGCCUAUAAAUAGGUGAGGGCCUCAUUUGGCCAGGGCACCACCCAAAUCACUUCCUAACCAAGCAAGUGAGCUUCCAAGCACUUGUAAAGGUUUCCUUGAGUUAGUGAAAGCUUCCAUUCUUUAAAGAGUUGCCUACUAAGCUUCUUAAGCUUUCGAGUCGCGAGCAUCUUAGCCUAGCAAGCUAAGCAUUGGGAGCAAGGCUGACUUAGCAAGAUCAAGCAUCUUGACUUGUCUAAGUGCCGCACGAGCUUAGUGAACGACUAAGUCCAUGACAUUAAGCAUUCACAAACAUGAGAUAAAUAUAAAUUCACUGAUUGAGAAAUAGGUAAAUGCGCCCGCUCACCUAAAUGCAUGAGUCCAGAGUUUCUCAAACUCCAUUGGUCUCCAUCUUCAUUUUAGCUUUGUACACUUUAUCAUGUGGUUUAUACGCUGAUAUUUAAGUUCAUGAAGCAAUGUUGGUUAGCGAAAUUCAGAAGAGAAUGGAAUGAGCAGCACAUAUAGAAGCACUAAUUGUGGUGACCAUAUGUAUUACCUGGCAUUUGGUUGUGGGUUAGGAUUAAACAAGAACUCAUAGCAAUCUCCCCUCAUUAAAAGCCUUUUCCUAGAAUUUAUGCAGGCAUCUGAAAGUAAGAAAUGAAUGUUGACUGCAUUUCCCAUGGGAUUUUUUUUUUUUUUUUAAUUUAGUUACCAGUAGGGAGUAUCCUGUUUGGCAAAGACAAUUUCAGUUACCAAUGGAAAGAUAUCUGAUAAAGAAAGUGAGCAUUCUUGUCUAUCCUGGUCAGGUGGUUCGAGCUGUUGGAGGGAGGGUUCCUGUUCUCUUAGAUGGAGGAAUACGGCGUGGAACAGAUGUCUUCAAGGCACUAGCCCUUGGUGCACAGGCUGUUUUGGUAAGGUUUUCUCCCCCAACUGUUCAAUUGUCUGAAGUAUGGGCUUUGUGCUGCACUUCUCUUUCAUUGUCACCAUCAUUUUAACACAUUGGCAUCCUGCUAUAAUUCAGCACAUAAUUUCUGUCUCUGGGGGUCUAAUCCUCAUGGAUAUGCUGCAGAAUACUGGGCUGAACCACUACAGUUGUAUCCCAAACGAUGAUUUAACCUCCCCAUAUUUGUUUUGUCCUGCUUGUGGCUCUCAGCUUUCAUCCCUACUUAUCUUGUUCAUGUAAUUCUUGCAGGUUGGAAGGCCAGUAAUCUAUGGGCUGGCUGCAAAGGGAGAACAUGGGGUGAGGCGGGUCCUUGAAAUGCUGAAGGAUGAGCUCGAGAUCACCAUGGCCCUCUCAGGCUGUUCCAGUGUGAAGGAUAUCAGCAGGAGGCAUGUGAGGACGGAGCGAGACAGACUCCAGUCCAUGCUGUAACUCGAUGUUGUAAGUUAAAAUUAUAUCCUGCAGAAGGAUGGUUGAAUAAUCUGUACCACAUCUAAUAAUGUGAUGGAGUUUAUGCAUUCUACUCUUAUUCAAUAAAGGAAAUUGGUUCCUUGAUGCUCUACUGCAUGCUUCAUUUAACAUUAUGCAGAUAAGCAUUUGUUCCCAAAGUCCUCUCGUAUGAAAAUACGAAAAUUAUAGUUUUUACUUCGGCUUCAACUUCCUGCUGAGGCAAAAAACAAUCUGGAUUAGUUGUUCCUCUACCAAAGAAAUGGGCUUGGUACAUUUUCCAAGCCAGAUGUUGUAUUCCCAUAGAAGAGUUGGAUCUUUUGGUAAUUGUAGCCACAGGGCACCAUUAGGAAGGAUGAACCAUUUUCCUCACUAAACCAAACAAAACACCCCCCUUCCCCACUCUCCUGCCUACUCCAUUUGUCCAGAGACUCCAUUCAGACAAAACCAGCAACACCCAUGUGUUAGUUCAGGGGCCUUCAUCAAAAGAACUCCAUAGAGAAAAGAUGAGCCAAUACCCAGGUUUGUAAGUUCAGUGCCAUUCAUCAGGAUCCUCCAUCUCUACAAGAUGGGAAAUGCCCAGGUAGCUAAAGUUCAAUGCGUACCUCUCCAGCCGUCUUUCCCAUCCGGUGGUCUAACUUUCCAUCUCAUAAUUGUUGACUUUACUAUUUAUGGGAUAGCAUAAAAGAUAAGAUAAGUUACGGCCCAACUUAUCUAUUUGAUGUUCAACUAAACAUGAGACAACAAUAAGAUGUUAUUCAUUAAUUAAGGUAUAUGGUAAAUUUUUUUAUAUUCCUUAUUUUGCAAAAUAGAAAAUUUUAAUUAAGUUUUAAAUAUUAUAAUCAUCAUAUUAUUAAACCUAAUAAAAUUCUCAUAUUUUAUUUAAUAAUAAAUAUUAGAAUGUAGUAUAAUUUUUACUUUAAAUAAAUAUGAAACAUUGAAAAAUAAUAUAUAUUUUAUUUUGGUUUUUUUUCAUUAUGUUAUAUUAUUGCAUAUACUACAUUAAGAUUUCAUAUUUAUUGGACAUAAUAUUUAAUUACAUAUUUUAUUGAAAAUGAUAUCUUAAAAUCUUUGGAUAUAUCUUUGGAUAGGUAUUUUCCAUUCAAGAAAAUGUGAUGUUUUAAGAUAUAUUUUAUAUCAUAUUCUAUCCAUUUAGAAAUCAUUCUUAUCCGUUUUUUAAAUUUUUGAUAACUUUUAAAUAUUUUUUAAUUGUUUUUUAGGAAGGUUUUCAAAAUAUUAUAAUAAAUAUAAAGAAUAAUUAAAAAUAAAAUUUAUUUUAAAAUAUUUAAAAAUGCGGAAAACAAGAUAAGAAUACAUUAAAUUUCCAAAUAAAUAUUUAAUUUAGAAAAUACUACAUAAUUGUUUUUUAUUUUGGAGAACUUUUUUGAAAACAUUUACAAAAAAGACCGUUAGUUCCCAUAUAUAUCAAUUGUGAAGUGAGGUUGAUGAUAUUCUAGAAACCUGAAGGAGAUGAAUGAUAUUAUCACAAACCUCAGGGAGGUAACUGAUAUUUUCUCUUCCUCCUGCUUCUCUUUGUUCGCCGCCUUUUCCGUGAGUCACUCGCCGAGGAAUCAAUCAACACGAAGGCUUGCAAAGUUUAAAUUUCCAAACGACGUCGUUUUAACCUCUCUAGCCGAUAUAGCAGCCACCAUUUGCCCUCGAAAAUGACGAUCAUACCCUUGUAAUGUUUACAAACAGGUACACUAGGAAAAGCACCAGCGAUCGGCAUCAUCCAAAGACAUUUCUUUCAGUAGCAGCUCAUCUUUUCAUUCACAUUCAGGCACUGCAGAAGCUCUCUCUGAAUCGAAGGUAUAUUUACUUAUUUUUCUAUUUUCUAUAUAUAUAUAUAUAUAUAUAUAUAUAUAUAUAUAUUACUGAUUAUCAACAUUCUUUUAUUCUCUUGUGAAUUUGAAUGUGUAUAUAUAUAGCGGUAUUUUGUACUGGUUCUGAUGAACCUAGAUAAAUUAUCAACUGUUUUCAUGUUCUUAGUUUGAAAGUUUUCAACCCUUAAAGAAGAUUUGAAUUUUUCCAUCAAUAAAAGGUGUGGUUUUGGCUUCUGAUGGCUGUUAAAGUGAAGUUUAUUAGCCUAUUUAGGUGUAUAUUGGAAGAAUAUUGUGUAAUUGCAACUGAAUGAGGAAUUUUUUUUUUUUUUCUUUUCAACCUUCAAAAUGAUACAGCUGGACUUCCCCACAUGCUUACUUAUGGAAUCACUUAAUGCAGAAAAUGAGUGAUAAACCUUAUGUGGAGUGUGCAUUUCCUACACAUGUCCAACAAUAAGAGACCAAUCUAAUUGAACAUGGAGUGAGGCUGCUUCAAAGUUCAAAUGUUGGGACAACAAUGUAGAAUGGAUUCUUAUCUGAAGAUGUGGUCCAAAUUUUCGAUUCAGCCCUAGUCCACUAUCAAUUUGGAUUGGUUUCCUGUUGUUUUGAUAUGGGGGACAUUAUGCAGUCCACUUGCUGUGCCCUCUUUCACCUCUUAGCCCUAAUCUUUGUUGUUCAAUUGUGUCUUUUGCCUUGUUGCUCUUACUUUGGUAACUCUGCUCUUACCUUGACAACCCAGAUUUUUACUCUUACUAAUACCUUUCACUUUUGAAUUUGAGCAGCGUACAUUGUGGCUUUGCAUGUAUCAAUUAUAUGUGGCAACUAUAUCUCACCAAAGCACUAAACGCAUGCAACUUCGUGUAAUUUGGAGUUUCCUAAGCUCAUAAUUGUAGUGAAUGGCAAAUGGCAAGGCUAGUGAUAUUAAAAAAUAAUAAGAGGUCAACACACGGUCUUCAUGUUAACCUUGAAAUUAAUAUAAAAUGUAACAUUGCUCCUAAAAAGUUCAGUCUAGGCUGGAUAAAGAACAUGUCUCUAUAAUUCUCCGUUUUAGCCAAGCUUUGAUCAGCAAACGGAUCCUUAGUUGAUGUCAUCUUGACAUCAUUCAUAAUCUUAUCUUCCAUGCUUAUUUUUUAUGCUUAUGAUUUGGUGCCAUUGUGGGAACAGUCUAGUUAUAAUUUUUACAAAAUUUCCUUUAUACCACUUUUGAAGUUCCUGGCUAUUCCCUUGUUAAUUUAUCAUCCCUAGAAACCUUUUCAUAUUUUACUUCUUUUAUGUACUACCUUAAACUACUACUUCUUCAGCAUAAUUUUCUGCAUCAAAGACCUUCGAAUGCUCAUUCUGAGGUAGCAAGGCAAUUUUAUCCUUACUAAAGCCUUCAGAACACCUAAUUAGGGGUGGCAAGCCAGUUUCCACCUUUAUGUACCUAAGUGAGGUGACAGCAUACAGGCUAAAGGCCUUAGAAUGCCUAUUAAGUGGCAGUGAGGCAACUAACACCCUUAUGUACCUAAGAAGAGGUAAUAGGGUACAAACUGAAAGCACUCAAAAGACCUAACCAGAGGUGAUCUGAUAUAACCCAGGUUCCCUUAAUGCCUAAUCCAAGGUAGAGAGGCAACUCAAGCCCUUUCAGCGGCUACUCAAGGCAGUCAAUGAAUCUGCCAUUUUUCCAUCUUUUAACCACUCUUCCUGAGUGCUUUAAUGUCUUUUCUUGCUAGCUCUUCUUGAACUCUCAGUAAUUCUUCUUUCUUUUUUCUUUUUUUCUUUUAGAUAGCUAAAUUUUUGUCUCCAUAGGGACUUGAAGCCAAACCUUCCACAAACCCAUAAAAAAGUAACAUCAAUCUCUAAAAAUCUCUUCUUGGACUAGAUAAAUAUUAGGUCCCAGUUACCUAAGCUUAACAAGGAAAGAUCCUUGGCAGACACCAUGCUGACAAAUUGAUAUUCUUAUUUUCCAUGCUUACAUCUUUGUGUUUACAGGAUAAUUUCCUUAGUACUUUUCUUACCUUUUUUAGUUUCCUAUCAUCCUAUGUCAUCUUGAAGUUUCCUAUCUUUUUAUUUUUGUUGCUAGGCUUUGUGUUUAUUUUUGGUAAUUAAGUCAUGUUUCUUAUCUUUUUAAGCUUCCUAUUUUAUUUUCAUGGUUAUUUUUGGUUGUUAAGUAAUUAAGAGAAAGGGAGGUUUCUUACCCUUUGGUUUUUCAUUUUAGGUUUCUUUUGUAGGUUUCUUUGUCUCUUUAGGUUUUUCUAUUUUACUUCAUGUUUACCUUACCAUUAAGCAAUUAGUACAAGGUUCUCAUUUUUUAGGUUUAUAUUUUAUGUUUUCGGGUUUCUUUAUCUUUUCAUCUUUUGUAUUUUUUUCAUAUUAGGUUUCCUAUUUUAUCUUCUUGUUUAUCCUUGGUAAUUAAGCUGUCACAAUUUUUUAUUAUUUCUAGGAUCAUGAAAGCUACAAAUACUUGAUUAUAGCUAGGGAUCAAGGAUUGAUUGUUAUUAUUUGGUUUUCUUUAUAUUUUAUUACAAUUUGAGUUUUCAUUUUUUUUCUUGUUCUUAUUUGAUUUUUUUACUUUUUAAUUGAGUUAUUUCUGUGAAGGUGUUAUCUUUUGGUAAGGUGACAUUGUUGUUGGAAUAAUCAACAACUGGUACGAUAGUUCACUUGUUUACCUAUAGGCCCAAGGAGCAGUUGAACUACUUUUCAUUUUAAGAGAUCACAUUUAAGGGGUGUGUAUAAAUAUAAUGGAGUGAUUAUUUUGUUCAAAUUUAGCUAUGAUUCAUUUUAUGAAUUAAAAGUACACAUAUUUGAGUUUCCUGCUAUUCGUGGCCCCAUUUUUCGGAUUGGAGCAAUAGCUUUAUUUUAUUUUUCCUAGACCUGCUUGUGUUAUGUUUUCUAUGCUAUGAUGCCUUUUCUUUAGUUCCUAUAUAUAAUUAAGUCUGAGUUGCUUUGAAACUUAAAUUUAUCUCAUUCUAGUUUGCUUCUAUGUUAUAGAGAAGUGAGUUUUUAUAGCAAAAGAACAACAAAUUUUACAAGGUUCUGAGUAGGAAGUGUAGAAUCAUGGUUGCCAAGUGGAGCAUCUUCUAAGCCUUUUCAAAUUUAUGCAUGGGAUGGUUACUUGAGAUUUAUGCAGUUGCAUAUAGGACUAGCUGUUGGAAAACUAAACAUUGUUUAAUGUUCAUGUUUCCAGUACUAAUGGCAGCUGAACCGGUCAAUGUGAAUGAGUUCCAAGAACUGGCUAGACAAUCACUUCCAAAAAUGUACUAUGAUUUCUUCUCUGGGGGUGCUGAGGACCAGCACACACUAAGGGAGAACGUAGAAGCAUUUAGCAGAAUCACGUAAUGCUCUUGACCCGUUAUUGUUCAAGUGGCUAACAAAAUAAAACACUGAACUAUCCUUUAUUUAUGGCUUCAGGUUUCAUCCAAGAAUUCUUGUGGAUGUGAGCAAAAUAGAUAUGUCAACUACUGUAUUGGGUUUCAAUAUCUCAUCACCGAUUAUGAUUGCUCCAACUGCUAUGCAUAAGUUGGCACACCCUGAAGGUCUAAAUACUCUUGCUAGAGGAUUAUCUUGAAAUGUGAUAUGCAAUAUUUAGUACACUAGUGUUUUGUGUUGAUUUCAGGAGAGAUUGCAACAGCCAGAGCAGCAGCUGCAUGUAACACCAUAAUGGUACUAGUGUAUCUUGGUUUUAUCAUAUCAGCUUAGUCAAGAUAUUUGAUCACUGAGUUAUUUUUCUCUACAGGUGUUAUCCUUCAUGUCUACCUGCACCGUGGAAGAAGUUGCUUCUAGCUGCAAUGCUGUUCGAUUCUUGCAAUUAUAUGUAUUCCAUUUUUCUUAAGCUCUACUGAAUUCAAAUUUCCUUCACGAACUUCCAUUUUUCUUUAGCAGCAUCAAUUUUUGCCUUUUUUGCUUGGAAUUUUAUGAUCCCAAUUUUAGAAUCUCAAGUUGGAUUUGUUAUCCAUCUGCAAAUAGGUAUUUAAGAGAAGGGAUGUAUCAGCUCAGUUAGUGCAAAGAGCUGAAAGAAAUGGAUUCAAGGCUAUUGUUCUAACUGCUGAUACUCCAAGACUUGGUCGAAGGGAGGCAGACAUAAAAAACAGGUGAAACAUCAUCUCCUUCUCUGAUACCUUUUUUCAUUAACUACAUGUUUAUUCCCUUGGUAGUGCUAUGAUAUGCAUAACCUGAUGGGAUAUGACAUUGGUUUAGUCUAUAAGAAAAAAAUUUCUUUUCUAUCUUAUGGACAUUGGAUUUGAUUCGAAAAACUAUAUUGAUUUUGAAUAUAAAAGUCAAGUUUUAUAUUUGCAAUAUCUAGUGCAUCACAUGGAAAAGUAUCUGUUACCAAACUUUUGCAGAAUGGUCUCACCUCGGUUGAAGAAUUUUGAAGGUCUCAUAUCAACUGAAGUUGUCACUGUAAGUAGAACAGUUGAAUAAUAUCUUCCAGUUUUGUACAUUUUAAAUUUUCCUAGAAGUAAUGCAUGAGCUUCUUUGCCCUUUUAUUAUUAUUUUUUUGGUGGCACGUGAAUCUAACAAACAAGAAGCUUUUAUACAACACUCUUAGGCCUCAUUUGAUAUAUAUAUAUAUAUUUUUGGCUUUAGCCUGAAGCUGAAGUUGUUAACCAUGAUUUCAAAGGGUAAUAAUGGGAACUAUGAAAUUAUUAUUAAACAUCAAGAACUUUUUUCAUGAACUAGAAAUGAGCUUCCAUGAGAGACAACAUUGUCCCUACUUCAGUGCAAGGCUUUUUUAGAGCUUGUUUUUAAAAUUACCCCAAACACAUAAGAAACACUUAUUGGACUUUCAAACACUAGACUCACCCCAAUCCCAGCCAUUCCCUUUUCAGCUUGAGCCAAGGCCCAGGGUUGUGAUUAGGUUUCAUGCUGCUAAUUGUACACUUAAAUCUGGGGAAGUUUUUCUUUCAUACAUGCAUAUGAUUGCAUGCCACUUAAAGAGCACCUACCUUACAAUUUAAUGGAAAAUUUAUUGCCACAAAAAAAGUUCCUUGUUCCAGGACCACCAUUGGGUUUAAAUGGUGUGAGCUUGUAUAUUUAUGAAAAUGAUAUAUUUGCUGAAAUAAAUACUGCUGCACAAGGUCUCCCUCUCUCUGUUUCUCUCUUUCUGGUUGCCAUUUGGUCAAAUUAGAACAGGCAUACUCUUUUUGCUUAUGAAAUGCAUAGAGAAAUAUGUUAACACUGCAUAUUGGAUCCAAAAUAAAGAGACUGUUUUAUCUCAUACUGCAGUUUACAAUAGAUUUGAUGGGUGGAGACCCAUGUUAUUUGAUCUAAAUCAUGACCAUCAACUGGUUUACGUGAAUACUUAAAUCAUAUUGUGAUACUUUUUAGAAAAAAACAAUAAUAAUGAUUUUGUUAAACUGUUUUUUAAAAUUUUGCAGGACAAGGGUUCAAAUAUUGAAGCUUUAGCAUCAGGAAUGUUUGAUGCUUCUUUGUCUUGGAAGGUAUUUGCUGAUAAACUAAUUUGGUUACUGUAUAGUAUGUUUCCUGAAAAGCUCUCAUGGAGGUGUUAAUCUAACUUUCUAUUCCUUGCAUGAAAAUAUCACUUAGGAAGCUGUGUGAAUUAUGCAGCCUACUCAUAAUAGAAAUAUUCUGUGGGUUAUCUCACCACUUUACACAAAGGUUGAUGCAGGAACAUAUAGCCAUGAAGCUCUUAGAUGCUCUUAAUUUUAAUUCUGGUUUGGUGGACACUUGAACCAUGGUUUUGAACUUAAAAUGUAGAUACUAACAUCCACCAAAUAUUGAAGUAAUGUGCUUGAGUUUCAAUUGGUUUUAAGCACUGCAUCAGGAACUUUGCAGGAUAUAGAAUGGUUAAGAUCUAUCACAAACUUGCCGAUUCUGAUCAAAGGGGUACUCACUUGUGAAGAUGGUAAAGCUCGAGGCUCAAUUUUAUGAUGUUUGCACCAUUUCAUUUGAAUCCAAUUCUUCAAAAAUACAAACAUUGAUGCUUUUAUUUAAUCAAGCAUUCUUCCAUUGCUUUAUUUGUCUAUUUCUUACCUCCCCAACCCAAGGGGGGAAAAAGUGACUUUGCCCUCUGGUAUUACAUUUCUCUUCUAAUAUUUUAUUUAUUUUAAAUUUGCCCAUGGUUGAACAAGAUUAUUGAUUCUGCAUACUACCACUGGCAGCAAUAAAGGCUGUGGAAGUAGGAGUUUCUGGGAUUAUUGUCUCCAAUCAUGGAGCUCGCCAGCUGGAUUACGUUCCAGCCACUAUUUCAGCCCUGGAAGAGGUGAUUCUUUCUGCCUUCAUGGAUUGCUCUGUUGCAGAUACAGGGUUUAGAUUUGUAGACUUAUCAAGACCUUAAUCACAAGCAUGCUUUUAAAUAUACAUAACCAUUUUAAUAUUUCUAUAUCUCUAAUCUACAAGUGGCUGAUAUAAAUUUCUUAAAAUCUUUGUCCUAAAGCUCUAUGAUUUGAUUCUAAUUUCCACCAUUUUUCUAAGUAUUGGUAUUUAAUGAAUACCUUUGUAUUUUCAGAACCUUAAUAUGGUGUGUGGAGAACAAUAUUUUAUUCCUUGAUUGCAAGUAACAAAGACCAAAGCUGUUCAGAGAUUUAUGCUAGUCAUAUGUAUGUGAAAAGCUGCACUGAUAUGUGUGUUUUUGUAUUCAACAAAGAAAUCCAGAAACUGAAACGCUUAGCAAGGAAGCAUAUACAUUUAAUGGUUCAUUUUCAACAAAACAAUUUAUUUUCCAUUUUGCUUCAUCUAAUCUCACCAAUUCUUUACUUCCAAUUUAUUUCUGCUAAUGUUCUGUCAAGACCCAGAAAAAAAAAAGGGUAGCUUAAGCAUUUACAAACAUGUGAUAAAUAUAAAUUCACUGGUGGAGACAUAGGUAAAUGUGCACACUCACCUAUACACGAGUCCAGAGUUUUCUCAAACGCCUUCCGUCUCCAUCUUUAUUUUAGCUUUGUACACUUUGUAAUGUGGUUACACAAUGAUAUUUAAGGUCAUGAGGCAACAUUGGUUGUGGGUUAUGAUUAAACAAGAACUCAUAACAAUCUGCCAUCAUUAAAAGCCUUUUUCCUAGAACAUACACAGGCAUCGGAAAACAAGAAACGUAUGUUGACUGCAUUUCCCACUGGAAUUUUUUUUUUUUUUUUUUAAUUUAGUUUCUAGUAGGGAGUAUGCUGUUUGGCAGAGACAAAUUCAGUUAGCAAUCGAAAGAUAUCUGAUAUAGGAAGUGAGCAUACUUGUUUAUCCUAGCCAGGUGGUUCUUGCUGUUGGAGGGAAAGUUCCUGUUCUCUUUGAUGGAGGGAUACGGCGUGGAACAGACAUCUUCAAGGCACUAGCCCUUGGUGCACAGGCAGUCUUUGUAAGCCUUUCUCCUCCAACUGUUCAAUUUGUAUGAAGUAUGGGCCUUGUGUUGCACAUCUCUUUCUUUGUUACCAUCAUUUUAACACAUUGGCAUCCUCCUACAAUUCAGCACAUAAUUUCUGUCUCUGGGGGUCUAAUCCUCACGGAUGUGCUGCAGAAUACUGGGCUGAACCACUACAACCAUAUCCUAGAACAAUGAUUUAAGUUCCCCAUAUUUGCUGUGUCCCUCCUGCGUCUCUUGGCGUUCAUCCCUACUUAUCUUGUUAAUAUAUUCUUGCAGAUUGGAAGGCCUGUAAUCUAUGGGCUGGCUGCAAAGGGCAAACAUGGGGUGAGACGGGUCAUUGAAAUGCUGAAGGAUGAGCUUGAGAUCACCAUGGCCCUCUCAGGCUGUUCCAGUGUGAAGGAUAUCAGCAGGAGGCAUGUGAGAACAGAGCGAGACAGACUCCAGUCCAUGCUCUAACUUGAUGUUGUGAGUUAAAAUUAUAUCCGGCAGAAGGAUGGUCAAAUGAUCAGUACCACAACAAAUAAUGUGAUGAAGUUUGUGCAAUGCUCAGAUUUGAUAUUACAGACUCUGCAUCAAAUCAUAAAUGGUGUAGCACAAAACUGAUACUAUUUUGGUACUUUGCUGGAGACAGCAUUCUACUCUUAUUCAAUAUGGGGAAUUGGUUCCUUGAUUCUCUUCUGCAUGCUUCCCGAAGUUCUCUCAUAUGAAAAUUAUAGUUUUGACUUCAGCUUCCUGUUAAGGCAAAAAACAAACUGGACUACUUGUUGCUUGAACAAAGAAGUGGGCUAUACCGCAGCUUCAAGCUUUUAGCAAAAAAAUGAAAAUUAUUUUCAAUUCGUAUCAAUAGUUGUCGCAUGGGCAUAUUAAGAAUAACUUAAACCAAUGAAAAUCUAAAUAUAUUUCCAAUCCACAUAGCAGGUAGCCUAACAAGUGACGUAUUUCUUGACAGGGUUCUGGGUUGUCCAACUGCAACCCAGUAUGAAUGAGGCCUUCACUGUCAAGUUCCUGAGCCACAUAUCAACUUCUAAGUACUUACACUUAUUUUUAUUUAAUGAACAAUAAAUACAUGACAAAAAUUUUGAUCUUCACAUGGAUGCAACCACAUUUUCCUAGCCAGAUGUUGUGUUCCUACAACCAUCUGCCCAAGACAAUUGGGGAUCUAGCCAACGCAACUAGCACAUGACCUCAAGCUGUGUCCUUUACUAUGUAUUGCUUACAGAGUUGCUCUUGUUGACGCCUUGCAGAUCCAUAGGGGAAUUGGUAAUACUGCCAACCGAGCCAAGGGUCUGUGAGCUCAACUGUGGGCUAGCUGGACAAGCCUCUGGAUUACCAGUACCCAUGGGAUGGACAGCACCAGAGCUCAUCUGUUGUGGACUCAUUGGGGUUCGCUGGUUCAUCUGCUGUGGGCUCAUGGGGGUUCGCUGGUUCAUCUGCUGUGGGCUGGCCUGCUGUUGUUGCGGCUGCUGCUGCUGGGGUUGUUGGUUUAGUUGUUGUGGAAUUCCCAUGGUUGAAGGAGAGCCUACUUGUGGAGGUGAAACAACAGCCUGUAGUGGUGAGGUGGUUUCUUGCUGGUGCUGCUGUUGUAGCUGCUGCUGCUGCUGCUGCAAUUGCUGUUGCUGUAAUUGCUGCUGCUGAUGAUGUUGUUGCUGCUGCUGCAUCUGCUGUAAAUGGAAUUGCUGUUGCGGCUGCUGUUGCUGGUUCAUGUAAAGAUUCAUCCCCGUCAUCAGCUUUGGGGGUCCCAUUGGCCCCAUUCCUGUUCUCUGCAUUGGGUUCAUAGGACGGUGCAGAUUCUGGCCCAGCAUUGAAAGACCAGUAGAACCUGGGUGUGAGUGCAUCUGUCUGGUUCCUGUCAUGCCAGCUAUGCCUGCCUGACGGCCACCUAAAAUUGCUGGGUUCAACAUUCUAAUUUUUGCCGCCAUUGUGCCUAAUUGUGGAUUCCGAAAUUGUUGACCUAGCAUAUUGGUAACACUUGAAGCCUGAUUCAGAUUCAUUGCAUUCUGACCCACAUUGCCCAUGCUAGAGAUAGACCCCAUUGGUGCUGAAAUUCCAGUACUUCCCAUACCCCUUGCACCCCCAAUGCCCAUGACAUUGCCCAAACCUUGGAGGCUUGCAAUGUUAUUGCCCAUGUUUCCCAUAUUCACAGCUGUUCCAAGUCCCAUCAUCAUUUUCCUCUGCAUUGGCUGCUGCUGUUGUUGCUGCUGCUGCUGCUGCUGCUGCUGCUGUUGCUGCUGCUGCUGCUGCUGCUGUUGCUGCUGCUGCUGCUGCUGCUGCUGUUGCUGUUGCUGUAACAUCUGGAGUUGGAGAGUGGCGGAAGGCUUGUUGACCAUGUGAUUGCCCAACUGCAUGUUUGAAUUCUGUCCCAUUGCACUUAGGUGUGAGAGUGGAUUUGUUGGAAGCAUAAGAGAUGAUCUCUGGAACUGAGAAUGCUGCUGUUGAAUCAAAGACUGUGGAUUCUGCUGCUGUGGCUGCUGAAGUGGUUGUGGAUUGAGCUGUUGUGGCCUGGUAGGCAAGGAAACCCCAGUCAAGAGUCCUUGCGAUAUCUGUAAUGCUUGAGCAUUUCCAGGAGGUAGCAUCCUUGAGUUUGCUAGAAGAUUCUGGGAUGCGUUUAAGGGUGUAUUGCCACUAUUAGUCGGUUUUGCCACUUCAUUGUGAGGCUGACCUGAAGCUGUUUCUGAAUAUUGCUGCAUCUCAGCUGCCGAAUUAUUAGGAGAGAUUCCAGGAGCAUUAGAUUGAUUGCUUGAGGCAAGAUUCAUGCGAGCUGGCUUUGGUUGGACACGAUCCUCCAUAAGAUGAUAUCCUUCACGGUUCAUCUACAUGAGAAAACCACACUACACUAAAUAAAAUGCAAACAGAACCUGCACUUUAAAAUCCAAAUUUCUGAAGUUACGAAACCAUUUUUGAGAAACAUACCAGUGAACAGAACUGUGCUGCAAGCAAGUCCGCGAAGUGCUGUUACAUGAAUUAGUCAGAGAUACAAGUCAACAGAGAGAGAGAGAGAAUGAAGACAGAGAUGCUGACAUAGAUCAUAGUGAGGAAGGUCCAAAAAGUAGGGGAGUAAAAAUCAAUGCUGCUUACAGACUUUAAGCCCAGUCCAAAAACUAUCCCUUCCAAUAAGAAGGCAAGUGGAAGAUGGGAAAUCACUGAGGAAUGAAGGACAUUAAGAUUGUAAUCUACGGAAUGUUUAAGUGCUCAUUACGGUCUUUCAAAACCAGCCAUAGACAAAGCAGAGAUUGAACAACCACUGAGUUGUUGAGAACAUUUCUGAUGAGGUGGUCAGUAGCCUGAACACAAGAGUUGACCUAAACAACAUAUUCACACUGAAGAAGUGGAGAUGAAGAUGAUGGAAAUGUAUAGACUGGAACAAUGACAAUAAAGUAAAUGCUGAACACAAAAUGAAAACCCUAGGAGUAGCUCUAAUCAAUGCUCAUUUGAGUUCUUGUUGCUCGGCAACACAAAAAAACCCAUCUGCCAGUUUAAUCCUCCACAUCUUGAAGCACAUAAAACUCCAUCAUGGAAGAUCAUUGCCUUCUUUUGGGUUAAAAGGUAAUAAAAUAAGAGAGAACCAACUAAAAGAGCCUCAAGCCAUUGGGAUAUGUUCCAUAAUGCAACUUGAAGGUCAUUAAAGAGGAUGAGAAAACCCAGAAAAGGGGAAAAAAUGGAGAGAACUAGUCGGAAGUAACCUCAAAUCCCUUCGUAAAGAUAUGACCAGUUAGCAGGACAGAACACCAGAUACAUUGUUUUGCUAACCCCAAAUUACCGGGAAUGGAGAAUUAUUGAUCAGUUCAAGAAGUGGAUCGGUGUCAAAACGUGAAAAUGUCUAAAUAUAUAGUUAGCAACACUACGCCUUUUUUUUUUCUUUUUCUUUUUGAUCAAAUUAGCAAUGCUAUGCAUCAUAAAGUAUAUUUUGCUGAAUGGAACUCACAGUAUUGGGCAAUGUAGAAACAUAAUCCUCUGCGCUCAGGAAAUCCCCGUCCACUACAUCCCCAUGAUGCACUGCUACACUACCAUCAUUUGCCUUCUCUGACAUGAUCAUUGUUGACCGUGCCCUGGGAACAACAGAGACAACACUCCCUGCAGUGGUAACAGUGGCAUAAUUAGGCUGGGGAGAGAAUAAAAUGUUAUAUAAAGGCAGGAAAUCAAACUAUUCAAAUCCAAAACCUUGGACUACACGCUCUGCCUGAACAAAAUUUAGGACUCGUAGCUUGCAGACAUUCAUGCUGCCACCUGCAAGUGACUUUGAUAAUGGCAUUUUGCAUGUAUCAUCUUUGAUAUCCUCAUUAUGGGAAGCCAUGGAGAGACGACCCAAGAGCUCCUGAGGAGAAAAUGUGGGUUUCUUGACGGGGCAAUCCUCAACCUUAUUCUUUUUACAAUUAAGUUGAUGCCUGAAAUAGAAGCCAAUUAAAAAUGCCCCAGAACUCACAAGAAAAGGAUGAGACCAAUUAUGCUACCACUAGUAUAAUAUUUAAAGAAACAUUCAAGUCAGAUAAGAAAAUUUGAACAAUUGAUGCAUCCUGCAUAUUCAUAUACCUAGUGACAUAAUUUUUUAUACACAUUACUCCUGGCAUAAAUGGUAACAUAUUAAACCAUCCAGUCCAUCUAAACUUUGUCCUUUUGUAGGAUAAGGAACCAAGACAAUGCAAAGGACCUGAAAUAUAAUCAAUCUCAAACUAAGACUGCAACUCAAGUGGGAAGCAUCCAGUUGAAUACCAAGUCAAGCUUCACCUAAUUUGGAGAUUUUCAUCCCAUGAGUGGAUUAGGUCAUGUUGUUUGAAUACAGUGACUAACCAAUGCAUUUAAAAUUUACAUAUUUUUCAUUCAUUAAUAUCUCAAUUACAUUUUCAAUUGAUCAAGCAUACAUAAAGAAAAAGUCUAACAAAGAAAGAAAACAUCCAUAGAUGGAAGUCAAACUAAGUUGCCUAGAGAACAUAAAAAACUUCAAAUAAACAUAAGAUGUGAACAAUUAUGGUUUUCUAUAAUAGAAUGUGGUAAGAGUUCAAUGAAGGUUCCCUAUUAUGUUAGCUAUCACAAGAAGGGAUGGUCUAUUUUCCCUCCAUAUUUUGUGUUACCCAAUUGGAUGUGGCAAAAAACAAAAUAGACACAAUAUACCAUUGCUAAAAAUAUCAAAUGUUAAGGUAAUUUCCCACAACCUCAACCCUAGUUUGAGUUAGGAUUUUUCAACAUGACUUUCCCCUUUUUGAGGUCAGGCUCAGUUGGUUCAACGUGGCCAAGUUGCAAAGCCAAUCAAACCAGACAUGUUUAUCUAGUUACAUCUUAACUCAGACUAAGUUGCUGAAUGGAACAAAUGUCACUGUCAAAACACCCAGGAUAGGUGCCAAAGGAUACAAUUGUGUUUCUUUACUCUGUUUACCAUAUUAGUGAGAAACAACAAAUAAAAGCUCUACCAUAUUAGCGGUGAAAAGCAACAAACAAAAGAACUACAAUAUUAAUUUCAUGGACAUUAUACCUCAUAACCACUAUUUCAAUCUUUGAGAAUUUAUCGAGCAUGGUUUGAUCAGCUGAAGGCGGGGUUGCAACUGAAGGACUGUUGGCAUUUGAUGGACCGCUCAUAUUACCAACACUUGCUGGAGACCCAACUGCAGGGGCCUUGGGGAGCGAAUUUGAUCUCCGCUUGGGAACAAUUUGCAUCUGGUUUUGCCGUUGCACGGAAUCAUUUGCACUGGAAGUCAAAGAUGGGGUGCCAACAACUGGAGGAACUGAGGUGACUGCUGGUUUAUCCUUUUGUGAUGCUCCAAGUACAGCAGUGGUUGCAGUUGGUCCAAAUUGGGGUCCUAAUGAACCACUAGAAAAUUCACCAGAUUUUGAUGAUAACGGAGAUUGGACCAAACCCUGAGCAGAAACCCGGGGGCUUUGCACCAAUUUCCUUUCCUUUCUUGGAUCUUUCUCAAUGUGCUGAGUUAUAUUAUUCCAGGGUGCCUGAAAUGAAUUGGAUCUCAUGAAUGGGAUCUGCUGUGGCAACCUUGAUUGAAGUCGUGACUGCUGUGGGUCCAGAUGGUUUGAUUCUAUUUCUCCCAUGUGCAUAUCAUUUUUAACCCGGUUAAGUUCAGGCCUAUCCAAUUUCUCCGUCUCAGCAAAUGAUGCUGAUGCAGCCUCCUGGUUUAAAACCCCAUCGAACACCUGCUGAGGAUACUUUUGAAUGCCAGUAUUUGCAUAUGGAUUUCCCCUUGCGUUUAAUUGAUGCGGUAACAGGGCGGCAUUUUUCCAUUGUAAAUCUGAUCCAUGGAAGCUAUCUAUAUGUGGCACUAAGUGCUGCUGUUGAAUACCUUCAGGACCUACCGCUGUAAGCCUUUGUCUCUUUGUCAUAUUAGAUAAAGGUGAGAGUUGAUCAUCUUGAUUUUCUCUUUUUCCAUGCACAUUGUCAGUGUAUGAGAUCAUCAUGUCCUGUAUAGAAGAGGAAGCGCCUGAUGCAUUCACAACUGACCCUGAACCAUGAUCCUGCAUAAUUUUUGGGUUACCAACACUAACUUGAUACUUUGAUCGGGGAGAUGCCAAAGGCAAAGCUGGAUUAGAGGCAUCUUGUACAAAGCUUUUAGGUCCUGGGGUUAAAAUAUUGAUUGGACCAACAUUUUGGGCAGCCAGAUUCUCAUGCACAUGCUGUGCCAUCACGGCACCUGACAUGGGUCCAGAGUCUCGCAACCUACCAUUUAAGCUUUCUCCCGCUCUAUCCAUGCUAAUUUUCUUCACAUGGAUCUUAUUACUAGAUGUAAUGUUAGCUUCUGGCAUCUGCCUCAAUCUCUUCUUCCGCACACUGCUGAGAGACAAAUUAAGCUGCAAAUAAAGUUUGAGGAUUCAGUACAUUGAAUCAAUUUUUCCUGCCUAAGAUUACAACAUCAACCUUUAGUUUUAAUACCUUAGCAGGAACUGGUUUUUCACAGAGUCUGUCCAACUUAGGAGAGGGAUCUAAACAAAGUUGUGGUUGCAGUGCUUUCAAUAUCCGGGACUCUACUUCCUAGAAAAAAAUAAACGACAAUUCAUAGAUUGUUGUGUCCUAAAGACAUUAUGAAUUUUUGCAAGGGAAGAGAGGAGUGGAUCAUCCUUACCAUUAGAUCACCAUAGGUCCAGGAGUUGUCUGAGAUCAAUGGGAUGUCCUUAACCACAUUCUCCAAGGACAUCCUAAGACACACUUUAUUAACAAUAGGCAACCCAUCUGCACAUGGAACACUAAAUCCUGGUUCAGAUGCACACUUCCGAUAAUCUCGCACCUGGAAAGGUCCAAACAUUGUAGAAUUAGCAACCACAAAAGCAAGCUGUUAUAGAUGAUUGCUACCUCCUGUCUAAUGAAACUCUUUGAAUAAUAAAAGAUAUGAAAGGUUAAAAAAGCUACAGAUCAGUCGAUGAAAGCCAUCUAGCCAGCAAGAUUAAUCUAUGGCACAGAGCAAAGAUCCCCAGUAUGAGAUACCGGCGACUAGGCACAGAUACCGGCAAGUUACUCACCUCACACAGAAGUGCCCCAUUAACAUAUUUGCAGGGUAUAUCAUCCAGAAUAUCUCCAGGCAAUCUGCCAGACUCAAUUGCCUCCAAGUACAUAAAUAAAUUGAGAGAGAAAAAAAAUUAGUAAAAGAAAAGCUUAUGCAAGGAUUAGAAAAUGGUGAACAAGUAUAUAAUCAUUUAUGAUGCAGAUGACAAGGAAUUUGAGCUAAUUUAAAAAGUCCAAGAUACCUUAUCAUUUAAAGACUAGAAAUAAUAAAAGAUGAAGUAAUUCUUGAGAAAAACAGGUUUUACUUUUCCACUUGCACUACAUAAUACAAAUUAUCUAUUACACAGAUGAGUCAAGACCAGAUGCAAAAAUAAACUAAUAAUAUUGUGUACUUUUUUUGCUUAUGACCAAAAUUCACAUAUGAAUUUCAUCACCCAACUCACAGAUCUCGUCUCAACUGCAUGAUUGAUGUUUUGAUUCAAAAAAAGUGCAUAUGGGACAUAUCCAAGCUUCUCAUUUCUACAGAUACAGCAAGCUUCUAGCAGUGGAGCAUGAGAUAAAUGGGCCGGCAAGAAAUACAAAAAUAUUUCACUAAAAUGAUAGAUAAGACACUUACUGAGAAGAGAGUCUCUGAUGUCCUAUCAUAUGGAUGUAGCAACUUUGGGACAUCUUGAAGCAUUGCCUGAUGUGUGGUUUCAUUCUGAAAAUUCAUAAAUUAGAACUUAGACAUAUACUAGAAAUGAUUACACUUUCUCUUGUCAGAUUAGGUUAAUUACAUGGACCUUCCCCUAUUCUCAAAUAUUACAUUUAAAUUAACCUAAGCAAUAGAGUUUUGCUUGCAUGCAUUUUUGGGCUGGGAUGGUGGUGGGGUGGGGAUGUUGUGGUGUGUUGGGGAGAGCUAUGCCACAUCCUUUCACAUCCGUUUCCAUUUUCUGCUUCAAUUCCUUUUCCACCAUUAUUGACAGAGGGUUACUCUCAUCCCUCUUCCCCAACAUCUGUUCAUUGCCAUUACCAUCUGAGCAAGAUGCAGCUGCCUAUUUCUCUCACCAAUUAAAGUAUCUACACAUCAACACCAUAUUUCAGCUCCUUCUAUAAAACACCACUUUAAACAAUAAAGCACCACCACUAGAAUAGUGGACCCUCUCAGGUUUUCUUCUCAAUUUCCCCUUAUUUCUAGCUAAACCAGGAAGACCCACCUCCAUCAAAUGGUUCAGAAAAAGCAGAACCAAUCAACAAGGCAUAAGAAGAUGCAAUCAAUGACAUUCAUAAGUCAAUCUAGCUAUUGGGUUUGUUAGAUUGGAAAGAAGAAGAGCAACAAUGAAUUGUUGCUUUGAUCAAAGAAGAGCAAUUAUUUUAUUUUUUUUGAUAAGUGAGCACAAAUUGUAUUAAAGGGAAAAACGCCACAAAGCAUACAGGGAGUAUACAACGCAGCCACACCCAAAAACAAAAGUAACAAGCAACCUCACCGGCCCUUAAGUAGCAGCUAGCCACUCCAAAAAGACUAAAAGCGAAGAGGACUCCUCUCCUGUGUACACUCUAGCCCAACUCCACAAAUUACAAACAAAAUAAUUUUUGAGUUUCUGUAUAUCCAAAGAACCCCCCCUAAAGGCUAAUCUAUUUCUUUCCUUCCAUACCGUCCAAAAAAUGCACAACGGGAUGGAAUACCAGAUUUUUUUCCUCUUUCUCCCUACAAAAGGGCCCCUCCAACUAAAUAACACCUCUUUGAAUGUCUCUGGGAACACCCAAUGAACCCCAAACAAGGCAAGGACAAUUUCCCAGAGGACCCUGACCACUGUACAAUGUAAAAGAAUGUGAUUUACAUUUUCCUCUUCACAACCACACAAAAAACAGCAAUUAGGAAACUGUCACCCUCGUUUUUAAAGCCUAUCCAAGGUGAGGAUCUUCCCCCAUGUAGCCUCCCAAGCAAAAAAGACAGCUUUGGUUAGGACCUUGUCCACCCAAAUGCAUCUAACCGGGAAGGCAAGGGUAUUGGGAGCAACCAGCAGGUUGUAAGCAUGUCUGACUCCAAAGGUGCCUUGACCCCCACCUCUCCAAACCACUGAGUCCUCUUCUUGGGAGAUCCUGAAGUCCCUCAGCAUAUUAAACAAAGCUCCUAUUAAAUCCAGCUCCCAAUCAUUAGAAUCUCUAGCAAAUCUGAUAUUCCAGCCCCCUUGACCGAGGCUAGAGUCCCACACCUCAUUGAUCGUUGCAUUCCUAUGCACCGCCAAGGCAAGUAAUUGAGGAAAAAUUCUGGACAGCACCUCGUUACCACACCAGUGAUCAGUCCAAAAUUUUACCUUAGUCCCCUUACCCACCUUAAACAUUAUGUUAUCCCAACACCAAUUUGCCUCCUUCAAAAUCUCCUUCCACACCCCCACUCCAAAUGCCCCACGAGUUUCAUUAGUCCGCCAACCAAAGCCUUCUUCACCAUACUUCACCCCGAUCACUUUCUUCCAAAGUAUGUCCUCUUCAAAGGCAAACCUCCAAAUCCACUUGCCCAGCAAGGCUUUGUUAAGGAGAUCAAUCUUCCGUAUACCUAGCCCUCAAUUCUCCUUUUGAGUACACACCACCUCCCAAUUGAUUAGGUGGAUUUUCCUUUCCAUUCUUCCCCCUCCCCAAAGAAAGUCUCUUUGUAACUUUUCAAGCCUUCUUGCCACUAUCUUGGGCAUUCGGAAAAUGGACAAUUGAUAAAUAGGAAUGCUGGCCAAAGUGCUCUUGAUGAGGGUAAUUCUCCCGCCCUUAGAAAUGUAUUGUCUUUUCCAAAGGGCUAAUCUUCUCCUCAUUCUUUCUUCCACCCCAUCCCACAUAGAUAUGGCCUUGUGGUGGGCUCCAAGGGGCAGCCCCAGAUAAACUGAAGGAAGAGCCCCCACUUUACACCCAAGCUCCACUGCCAUUUCCUCAAUUUCUUCAACCUCCCCAAUAGGAAUUAAUUCGCUUUUAGCUAGGUUUAUUCUUAGCCUAGAAGCCGCCUCAAACCAAGCCAAAAUCCAGCUUAAGGAGGUUAGAUACUCUUUCCUAGCUUCACAAAAGAUGAUUGUGUCAUCAGCAAAGAGUAGAUGAGAGACAUCCAUCUCCAUCCUCCCUCUUCCCCAAAGGCUACAACCUAAGAUGAACCCCUUAACAGCAGCCCUUCUUAUGAGGGCACUUAGCACUUCCAUACCUAGGACAAAGAGAUAAGGAGAUAGAGGAUCUCCUUGACGCAACCCCCUUGGAACUCGAGAAGACGCUUGCUGGCACCCCAUUGACCAGGAUAGAAAAUUUGGUAGUUAAAAUGCACCACCAAAUCCACUCCAUCCACCAAGACCCAAAACCCAUCUUUUGCAAGACCUUCAUGAGGAAAUUCCAGUUAAUGCUAUUGUAGGCUUUUUCAAUGUCCAAUUUGCAAAUCAACCCCUUCUCCUUACGCUUGUGCCAGAAGUCGAUCACCUCAUUAGCUAUAAGCGAGGCAUCCAAGAUCUGUCUGCCCCUCACAAAGGCGUUCUGGUCCACUGAAACCACCUUUCCUAGGACCUUCUUCAACCUAUUCGCCAACACCUUGGCCAAGAAUUUGUAUGGUAGGCCGAAAGUCCCCAAGGUCCUCAACUCCCCCUUUCUUUGGAAUUAGGACUAGGAAAGUGGUGUUGAGGCUUUUGGCAAAAGAUUUUUGCUCAAAAAACUCCUUGAACAGAUCCACAAUCUCCUCCUUCACAAAGUCCCAACAGAAUUUCCAAAAGGCCACUGUAAACCCAUCCGGCCCAGGAGCUUUGCCACCAUUCAUGUCCAACAGGGCAGAGUGGAUCUCUUCCUCGGUGAAUGGCAACUCCAAGCCUUCAGCUUCACUGGAAUUUAGACUUUGGAGGUGCAACCCCUCAAUAUCCGCUUUCCAGCCUGGCUCUUCAGAGAGCAGUUGCUGAAAAGCGUUCACAAUCCCCUCCCUCACCUCCUGCUCCUCAGUCCUCCACAUCCCGAUAAUUUUAAUUAUGUCCAAGGAAUUGUUUUUUCGGUGGGCAUUGGUCAUCCGGUGGAAGAAUCCUGUAUUCUUGUCCCCUUCCUUCAGCCACAACUCCCUCGACACUUGUCGCCAAUAAGUUUCUUCCAGCAGAACCCACUUUUUGAAAGUUUCCUUAGCUUCCUUUUUCAUCUCCGUUUCACUUACUAAGAGGCUCCUUUCACUUUCCACCCUAUCCCAGAACUCGACUUGCUGGAGAGCCAAGUUUUUGUUAACUUCCAGUCUUCCAAACACAUCCCUAUUCCAGUUUUUGAUUUUCUGUUUCAGCACCUUCAGCUUAGAGGCCAAUCUAAAACUAGCCUUCCCACUCACCCCAGACCCCUGCCACCAUCCCCGAAGAAGGUCCUUAAACCCAUCCACUUUCAGCCACAUGUUUUCAAACCUAAACGGAAAAGGGCCUCAUUUUAACCCGCCAC